rfam:Danio rerio chromosome 14, GRCz11 reference primary assembly.
CUUGUCCUCAUUCGUAAGUCGCUUUGGAUAAAAGCGUCUGCUAAAUGACUAAAU